UCUUUUAGUGGCUGAAUAAAGCAUUGGCCUCUUAAGCCAAACCAUGAUAAAAUCCUAAAAGAA
rnacentral:tRNA from 1 species